GCCCCGCCUUGCCGAAUUGUCGCCGGAUGGCGUGCGUGGCCAGCAAUCGCUGGUCUAGGCAGGCGGGUCGCA
rnacentral:sRNA from 12 species